rnacentral:rRNA from 1 species
GACGAACGCUGGCGGCGUGCUUAACACAUGCCAGUCGAACGGGCCCGCCCCUGUUUUUGGGGGUGGGUUGAGUGGCGAACGGGUGAGUAUCACGUGAGUAACCUGCCCCCUGCUCCUGGAUAACUGCUUGAAAGGGCGGCUAAUACGGGGUGUGCCGGCUGGUCCGCAUGGGCCUGGUCGGGAUAGUUUCAUCUUCGGGUGUUUCGGUGGGGGAUGGGCUCGCGGCCUAUCAGCUUGUUGGUGGGGUGAUGGCCCACCAAGGCGGUGACGGGUAGCCGGCCUGAGAGGGUGGGCGGCCAGACUGGGAGUGAGACACGGCCCAGACUCCUGCGGGAGGCAGCAGUGGGGGGUAUUGCACAAUGGGCGGAAGCCUGAUGCAGCGACGUCGCGUGAGGGAUGGAGGCCUUCGGGUUGUGAACCUCUUUCUCCGGUGGUGAAGGCCCUGUCCGUUGCGGCGGGGUUGACGGUAGCCGGGUAUGAAGCGCCGGCUAACUACGUG